AUUGAACGCUGGCGGCAGGCCUAACACAUGCAAGUCGAGCGAGCGGCGGACGGGUGAGUAAUGUAUGGGAAACUGCCCGAUGGAGGGGGAUAACUACUGGAAACGGUAGCUAAUACCGCAUACUAUCAGAUGUGCCCAUAUGGGAUUAGCUAGUAGGUGAGGUAAUGGCUCACCUAGGCGACGAUCCCUAGCUGGUCUGAGAGGAUGAUCAGCCACACUGGGACUGAGACACGGCCCAGACUCCUACGGGAGGCAGCAGUGGGGAAUAUUGCACAAUGGGCGCAAGCCUGAUGCAGCCAUGCCGCGUGUAUGAAGAAGGCCCUAGGGUUGUAAAGCACUUUCAGCCGGGAGGCGUUACCGACAGAAGAAGCACCGGCUAACUCCGUGCCAGCAGCCGCGGUAAUAC
rnacentral:rRNA from 1 species